UCCCUGAUGUCUCAGACAGUAAAGAAUCUGCCUGCAAUGUAGGAGAUCUGGGUCGAUUCCCAGGUUGGGAA
rnacentral:tRNA from 1 species